rnacentral:rRNA from 1 species
AAAUUGAAGAGUUUGAUCAUGGCUCAGAUUGAACGCUGGCGGCAGGCCUAACACAUGCAAGUCGAGCGGCAGCGGGAAAGUAGCUUGCUAYUUUUGCCGGCGAGCGGCGGACGGGUGAGUAAUGCCUGGGGAUCUGCCCAGUCGAGGGGGAUAACAGUUGGAAACGACUGCUAAUACCGCAUACGCCCUACGGGGGAAAGGAGGGGACCUUCGGGCCUUUCGCGAUUGGAUGAACCCAGGUGGGAUUAGCUAGUUGGUGGGGUAAUGGCUCACCAAGGCGACGAUCCCUAGCUGGUCUGAGAGGAUGAUCAGCCACACUGGAA